rnacentral:lncRNA from 1 species
AUCAUUAGCUUGCUGUAGAGUUGAAAUGUUCUCAGUUUGCUUUUCAACCACAGUCUCAAGAUUCCUAACAGAAGCCUGAGACGUCUGUAACUCUAAUAGAGCUGUGUCCUUCUCUGCACCUAGGUCUGAAAUUUGAGCAUGCAGAUUGCUCCUGGCUUCUUCAAACUGCUUGUCCAAGGUGGAGUUGUUUUCUAGCUGUUCGGAAAGCUCCUCUUUCAGCCGUGUCACCUCAUUCUCAAGAUUUUGUACUGAAGUCUCUGACUGCUUCAGUUGUGUUAGCACUGUAUCCUUCUCUUCUUGUAUUGCCUUCAACUCAUCCUGCAUCUCCGCCUUGGCUUGUUGUGAUUGCUCAGUCAAAGUGUAGAUGUUCUUCUGUAACUCAUCAUUAGCUUGCUGUAGAGUAGAAAUGUUCUCAGUUUGCUUUUCAACCACAAUCUCAAGAUUCCUGACAGAAGCCUGAGACGUCUGUAACUCCAAUAGAGCUGUGUCCUUCUCUGCACCUAGGUCUGAAAUUUGAGCAUGCAGAUUGCUCCUGGCUUCUUCAAACUGCUUGUCCAAGGUGGAGUUGUUUUCUAGCUGUAUGGAAAGCUCCUCUUUCAGUCGUGUCACCUCGUUCUCAAGAUUUUGUACUGAAGUCUCUGACUGCUUCAGUUGUGUUAGCACUGUAUCCUUCUCUUCUUGUAUUGCCUUCAACUCAUCCUGCAUCUCCGCCUUGGCUUGUUGUGAUUGCUCAGUCAAAGUGUAGAUGUUCUUCUGUAGCUCAUCAUUAGCUUGCUGUAGAGUAGAAAUGUUCUCAGUUUGCUUUUCAACCACAGUCUCAAGAUUCCUGACAGAAGCCUGAGACGUCUGUAACUCUAAUAGAGCUGUGUCCUUCUCUGCACCUAGGUCUGAAAUUUGAGCAUGCAGAUUGCUCCUGGCUUCUUCAAACUGCUUGUCCAAGGUGGAGUUGUUUUCUAGCUGUUCGGAAAGCUCCUCUUUCAGCCGUGUCACCUCAUUCUCAAGAUUUUGUACUGAAGUCUCUGACUGCUUCAGUUGUGUUAGCACUGUAUCCUUCUCUUCUUGUAUUGCCUUCAACUCAUCCUGCAUCUCCGCCUUGGCUU